rnacentral:rRNA from 1 species
CAGCCGCCACGGUAAAACGGAGGGUGCAAGCGUUAAUCGGAAUUACUGGGCGUAAAGCGUGCGUAGGCGGCUUCUUAAGUCGGAUGUGAAAUCCCUGAGCUUAACUUAGGAAUUGCAUUCGAUACUGGGAAGCUAGAGUAUGGGAGAGGAUGGUAGAAUUCCAGGUGUAGCGGUGAAAUGCGUAGAGAUCUGGAGGAAUACCGAUGGCGAAGGCAGCCAUCUGGCCUAAUACUGACGCUGAGGUACGAAAGCAUGGGGAGCAAACAGGAUUAGAUACCCGAGUAGUCCCUGUCUCUUAUAC